rnacentral:rRNA from 1 species
CUUGCAGAGGAUGGAUUAGUGGCGAACGGGUGAGUAACACGUGGGUAACCUGCCCAUAAGAGGGGGAUAACAUUCGGAAACGGAUGCUAAUACCGCAUAUCUCUUCGAGACGCCUGUCUCUUAGAUGAAAGGUGGCUUCGGCUGCCGCUUAUGGAUGGACCCGCGGCGUAUUAGCUAGUUGGUGAGGUAAUGGCUCACCAAGGCUGUGAUACGUAGCCGACCUGAGAGGGUGAUCGGCCACACUGGGACUGAGACACGGCCCAGACUCCUACGGGAGGCAGCAGUAGGGAAUCUUCCACAAUGGGUGAAAACCUGAUGGAGCAAUACCGCGUGAGUGAAGAAGGUCUUCGGAUCGUAAAGCUCUGUUGUUAGAGAAGAAUAAGUCGGGUAGUAACUGCCCCGGCCUUGACGGUAUCUAACCAGAAAGUCACGGCUAACUACGUGCCAGCAGCCGCGGUAAUACGUAGGUGACAAGCGUUGUCCGGAUUUAUUGGGCGUAAAGCGAGCGCAGGCGGUCUUUUAAGUCUGAUGUGAAAGCCCACGGCUCAACCGUGGAGGGUCAUUGGAAACUGGAAGACUUGAAUGCAGAAGAGGAAAGUGGAAUUCCAUGUGUAGCGGUGAAAUGCGUAGAUAUAUGGAGGAACACCAGUGGCG